AGCUUUCUGAAUUCGUGCAGAGAUUUGUUCAGACACCAAUCCAUUACAGCUGAUCAGACUUCCAAGAUAAAUUGUCGACGCG
rnacentral:pre_miRNA from 1 species